CUAGAUUACUUCUCUGGUUCACAGUCGUGAGUGGCAGAUGGGCAUUUGAACACGCAUUGGUGAUUCUAAGUCCUAAUGCCUCCUGGGGUAGGAAGGGAGGUGUGGGAAGGUCAGCCUACACAGGUGUGAAAACUGGGUCCUCAAUGCUGGCGUCCUCUGACUGUGCGCCACGCCCUCCUGUGGCUGCAGAGUGUGGUGCAGGUGAUGUUCCACGACCCGCACCUGCAGUACACAGAGCAGCAGCGGCAGCUGGCUGGGUGGAGGUGGAGCCGGGCCCAGGGACCGCAUCCUGGACAUCGAUGAGUGGGGAAAGGCCGGGGGCCCUUCGAGCCUGAGCUCUGGCUCAGGAGUCCUUGUGGACUGGGAAGGCUGAGCCUGGCUCCCUGCUUGCCACCCUGUGCCUGCAGAUGUGCCACUGUCCGUGGGAGUGAUAGAACCCCAAGUGCUGCUCUCACAACUCAACAUGGUGGAGUUUCACUGGGACCCAACAAAGAGGACAUCUCUCUUCCUGCAGUUCACACCUCGGAAGAAAGGUGGAGAGAAAGGCAUCCCUUUCCGCCUCCAGAUCGACACCUUCAGGCCCAGUGACAAGGGGCUGCCGCUAGACCACCUGCACUCAGCUGGCUGCCUCAUCAAGGUGUUUAAGCACAAAGGAGCGGAAACUGAAAAUGGACCGUGAGAAGAUGGAGAAACAGCCCCUGCAUGAGAGGGACAAGUAUCAGACCGCCUGCGAGAGCACUGUCUUCUUGGAGGUGUGUGUGUUGGGGCGAGAGCAGGAGGGGAGAGUUGGAGAAAAGAUCCUCACGGUACAGAUGGGGAAAUGGAGGCCUCCAGGGCUCUGACUGCUGCAAGCCCAUCACAGCCCCCUGGGGACUCCACCACUUCCUGCAAAGGACACUCUCUGCCCUGUCUGUGGUUGUUGAAGCUUCCAGGAGCUGACGCCCUCCAGGCUGCCUGUCCUACGCGGGCCAUCGCCACCUCCUUCCUUGUGUGCUCCCUCUGCCUGGCCCCCUCCUCCUCCUGCUGCUCCUCCUGGCCAGCUCCUCCAAGGCCCUUCCUCACUGCCCCAGGCCCGCCGGGUGGUUAACUUCUUCCUUCCUGUGGAAACCCAG
rnacentral:lncRNA from 10 species